rnacentral:rRNA from 1 species
CCUACGGGAGACAGCAGUGAGGAAUAUUGGUCAAUGGACGAGAGUCUGAACCAGCCAAGUAGCGUGAAGGAUGACUGCCCUAUGGGUUGUAAACUUCUUUUAUAUGGGAAUAAUAUGUUCCACGUGUGGGAUUUUGUAUGUACCAUAUGAAUAAGGAUCGGCUAACUCCGUGCCAGCAGCCGCGGUAAUACGGAGGAUCCGAGCGUUAUCCGGAUUUAUUGGGUUUAAAGGGAGCGUAGGUGGAUUGUUAAGUCAGUUGUGAAAGUUUGCGGCUCAACCGUAAAAUUGCAGUUGAAACUUGCAGUCUUGAGUACAGUAGAGGUGGGCGGAAUGCGUGGUGUAGCGGUGAAAUGCUUAGAUAUCACGAAGAACUCCGAUUGCGAAGGCAGUUCACUGGACUGCAACUGACACUGAGGCUCGAAAGUGUGGGUAUCAAACAGGAUUAGAUACCCCAGUAGUC